GACGAACGCUGGCGGCGUGCUUAACACAUGCAAGUCGAACGGAAAGGCCCUGCUUUUGUGGGGUGCUCGAGUGGCGAACGGGUGAGUAACACGUGAGUAACCUGCCCUUGACUUUGGGAUAACUUCAGGAAACUGGGGCUAAUACCGGAUAGGAGCUCCUGCUGCAUGGUGGGGGUUGGAAAGUUUCGGCGGUUGGGGAUGGACUCGCGGCUUAUCAGCUUGUUGGUGGGGUAGUGGCUUACCAAGGCUUGGACGGGUAGCCGGCCUGAGAGGGUGACCGGCCACAUGGGGACGGAGAUACGGCCCAGACUCCUACGGGAGGCAGCAGGGGGGAAUAUUGCACAAUGGGCGGAAGCCGGAUGCAGCAACGCCGCGUGCGGGAGGACGGCCUUCGGGUUGUAAACCGCUUUCGCCUGUGACGAAGCGUGAGGGACGGUAAGGGGUAAAGAAGCACCGGCUAACUACGU
rnacentral:rRNA from 1 species